AUCUUUUGUCUUCCACCAUCCAGAAAGAAACAGAGCCAUAGGCUCCACCCUUCUUUCAUCCCCAUCAGGAGUAUGCCAAGAAGAAGGUUAAGUCUUUGAGCGAAAGAUCAUGGGUUUACGAGACUUCCAUCAACUUCAAGGCCAUCUUCAACACUUGGAAUUUAAAGUUUGGGAACAUUCAAACCUAAAGUCUUGAUAUUAUCCCAUGGCCAAGGGACGCAUGUGUGUUUCUUUUAUUAUUGCUUGUGAUGAUUGAAUGUGAUAAUUUGUUUUCUUUCUUUAUUUCUUCAUAGAUUUGGUUGUAAGCUCCAUUAAAGAAGCAUAUGUUUUCGUUUUCUCUUAUAAAUUUUUAAUGUUUUCCAUAGAUUGGAUUGUAAGUUCCAUUAUAGAAGGAUAUGAUUUCUUUUAUGAUGUAAAGUCUUGUUUUUUAUUAUCUAUGGAGGGCUACAAAAGAAGAUUUUCUCAAUUAUGUCAAUAAAGAUUGGAUAUUUAUUGGUCCA